UCUUUGAUGGUCUAACGGUCAUGAUUUCCGCUUGUCAUUAUUCAGACAAGUCGCGGGAGAUCGGGGUUCGACUCCCCGUCAGAGAG